rnacentral:rRNA from 1 species
UACGUAGGGUGCAAGCGUUGUCCGGAAUUAUUGGGCGUAAAGAGCGUGUAGGCGCCAGGUAGGUCCGUUGUGAAAACUCGAGGCUCAACCUCGAGACGUCGACGGAAACCAUCUGGCUAGAGUCCGGAAGAGGAGAGUGGAAUUCCUGGUGUAGCGGUGAAAUGCGCAGAUAUCGGGAAGAACACCCGUGGCGAAGGCGGCUCUCUGGGACGGUACUGACGCUGAGACGCGAAAGCGUGGGGAGCGAACAGG